rnacentral:pre_miRNA from 1 species
GUUGGGGGCAGGGUUGGGGCUGAGUGCAAUGUUGUGAUUUUUCCCACGAAUAUUGCACUCGUCCUGGCCUCCCGCUGUUCU